CUGAAAGAAUUGGGCAUUGGGCUUUGGCCACCCGUACUAGCAGGCCGGUUGUUUAUUUUUUUUUUGGAGCAAACGUUGGUGAUUCGGGAAGGCCUGAGGUAACUGCAGUCACCUGUAAGGCCUCACCGGAAGUCGGUGACAAAAACACAAAAUCCAACCACCCACCGUAGGGAGGAAAACUGACAGCCAAAAAAGUCGCAAACACAAGGGAAAGUGCAUGCUGCCGGUGACCACGGGGGCAUCAGAGGGAAUCAGAAGGUCGCAGGCCUCCUGGCGCGCGUUCUACCUGCCCACGCGGGCUCUGGUCAUCCUGGACCCCAGGCCCGACAGGGAUGCGCGUGGGCCGAGACAGCGGCCUUUCCACGGCGCCAGACCAGGCCCCAAAGGGCCAGCGAGGGUCCGCGGCGUGCUGCGCCAAGAGGCCACCGCUCUCCUCGGCCAACCGGCCUAGCCAAGGCUGGAGGGAGAGGGCGCUAAGUCCUCGGGUACCUGGGCAGGAGUAAGGCCUGAAUGCCCAGCCCCCUCCUCCCUCAGCACCCCCGAUGUGGCUCUGCAGGGUAACGGCUGCCCUGCAGUCACCCUCGGCUGCAGAGGGAGCCCGCGGCGUCCAGUCGGCGACCCGGGGCCUCCUCCCCUGCCUCCUUCGCCGCCUCCUUCCACGUUCCCACCCCUGCCACGAGCACCGCCCCAUUACUUGAUUAGGUCCCUGUAGUCCACGAAGGAUAAGAUGAGCAGAAGGGGGUCGGUGGGCAGCGACUCCAGGGUGAACGGCCCGAUCUCGGCCUCCACGGCAGCCAUCUUGCCCGGCCCGCUGCAGCCCGGCACCACCCCGGCCCCGCCCCCGCCGCCCGAACCGCUCGGCGGCCGCUGGCACAGAUUUGGGACCACAAGCUGAGGGGCUGAACUGAAUAAGACCAUUGGAGGACGGGAAGAUGUGAUUCUUCAGCUUUGUAGAAAUUAUAUUAAGGUGGGUGUGGGAGAAGUGUGGUGGAUGAGAUCAUGGACCAAGGAGUAAAUUCUUCUUUUCCGUUGAUUUCACAGGGGCUGUUCCAUAGAGAGCCUUGGGAAAUCCAAAAGACCUGGACUUCACAUACCGGUCACUUACGUCACUAGUAGUGAGAUGGCGCAUUAGUUAUCUGUAUCUAAGUUCUGUGAAGUGGUCCUCAUCUCCAAAACCACUCCUCCUAUUUGUUAAUAAAUGUUAAUUUCCCAA